UACAGAGGGCUCAAGCGUUGUCCGGAAUUAUUGGGCGUAAAGCGCGCGCAGGCGGUCCUUUAAGUCUGAUGUGAAAGCCCACGGCUCAACCGUAGAGGGUCAUUGGAAACUGGAGGACUUGAGUACAGAAGAGGAAAGCGGAAUUCCACGUGUAGCGGUGAAAUGCGUAGAGAUGUGGAGGAACACCAGUGGCGAAGGCGGCUUUCUGGUCUGUAACUGACGCUGAGGCGCGAAAGCGUGGGGAGCAAACAGG
rnacentral:rRNA from 1 species